rnacentral:rRNA from 1 species
UACGAAGGGGGCUAGCGUUGCUCGGAAUGACUGGGCGUAAAGGGCGCGUAGGCGGUUUGGACAGUCAGAUGUGAAAUUCCUGGGCUCAACCUGGGGGCUGCAUUUGAUACGUUCGGACUAGAGUGGGGAAGAGGGUCGUGGAAUUCCCAGUGUAGAGGUGAAAUUCGUAGAUAUUGGGAAGAACACCAGUGGCGAAGGCAGCGAACUGGCGCUUUAUCGACGCUCAGGCACGAAAGCAUGGGGAUCAAACAGG